rnacentral:lncRNA from 1 species
UACAUCAAAAAACCUUUCUGGAUGAUGUGAGCUGGGAGAAACAAUUUCGAUUUUUGUAUGCAGAAGGAUGAUUGGAAACAAGCAACUACCACAUAUCGAAAAGAAACCGUUCCCAUAUACCUCGUUGGUGUAUAAUUGUAUUACAGAUUAGCUCAUUCUCUAAAUUUCAAUUUCUAAUCAGAUAAUCACCCCAACAAGCCAACAAAUAUGUAAAUUCUGAAGCUCUAUUAGGAAUUUAAACAAUGUACGCUCUUNNNNNNNNNNNNNNNNNNNNNNNNNNNNNNNNNNNNNNNNNNNNNNNNNNNNNNNNNNNNNNNNNNNNNNNNNNNNNNNNNNNNNNNNNNNNNNNNNNNNNNNNNNNNNNNNNNNNNNNNNNNNNNNNNNNNNNNNNNNNNNNNNNNNNNNNNNNNNNNNNNNNNNNNNNNNNNNNNNNNNNNNNNNNNNNNNNNNNNNNNNNNNNNNNNNNNNNNNNNNNNNNNNNNNNNNNNNNNNNNNNNNNNNNNNNNNNNNNNNNNNNNNNNNNNNNNNCGCUCUUCCACUACCCAUUCACUGUUAUUAUUUUGCUAUCAUUCAACUCAUUGCAAAAUAAGUGACCACUCGUUGCGGAUAGAAGGGUUCGAACUCGUUGUUUUUUUAAUAUUGUUUUAUUCUUUUUUGCUUAUAAUUUCUAGUACAUGAACUUAUUGUUUUUUUUUCUUAUUUUCUUAUAAUCUCUAAUUUAGAUCAACUUAAAUAAAAAUAAGUAGUGACUAGUAAGCUGACUUGCUCCACACACUUGUUCUAUACACACACCUGCACUCACAAGAUAAGCUUGAACACUAAGCAACCAUUCCACACAGCAGCCACCAUAUACACUCACCCCUCACAUUCAUAAAUAGCUUAUUUUCCGUCCAUUUACUCCGACGCCUGUACUUAUUUUCACCGCGAGGCUCAAACCCCUUGUUUUGUAAGCUUCCCAUCCAGCAUCAACACCGCAAGACACCAGUACGGCAGUACACGGCGGAGGAGGCACCGGAACGGAAUCUCGAGUUAUCAGUGAUGAAUGAAGAUGACUAAGAGAGGAAGGAUGACAUGAAAAUAAUACAGCUCGUAUUAUCAAUUUGAUUUUCCCGUGUAAAAGAUUGUUGGAUUAGAGUUGGUGGGUGAGUUGGACUAUAGUAUUUUUUUUUGUUUGUAGUUUUGUCUACUGGGCUCAUGUAAUGGACUCUUCGUUAGCUGCAUGAACUCUUUGAAGUCUUUAUUAGCAUUUGCUUUGCAAUAGGCUAUGGGUUGCACUAUUAAUAUGUCUGGUUAUAAACCCAUAGCUUAAAUUUCUAAGUCUUUUUCGAUUUUAAGCUAAAAAAUGUCGAAUAAAUAGAGAAGGUACGUCUCUGGUGGCUAAAAGUGUUUAGUCUUCCUUUUCAAUCAUCGAUUUUAUGUCUGUAGUGGAGAAGGUAUGCCGUCGUUAUAAGCUCCAGUGGCUUUUAAUAAAAUAAUAAUGUCAGAAUAAUGUUUGUUAGGAACUUGAAAUGGCUCUACUGCAACUACCAGAAGGUAGCUGGCAUAUCUUUUAUAUGACAUUUUUGCUCAUUAUGUUCUAUUUCGUUUUUUAGAGUUCUUUAAUGGCUGACCUCGAAGAUCAACUCGCCCCUGCUAGACUAAUUGCACGUAACCUUGGUCUUCGCUCAUGGAUCCGUAUUGAUACAUCAGGGAACUCCCAAGUGAUCGAGCUUGAUAAGUUAUCAAUGAUGCGUCGAUGUGAUCUUGCUGCACGUGAUGUACGCUUGCUUGAUCCGUUAUUCGUUUAUCCCUCGACAAUUCUUCAAAGAGAGAAUGCAAUAGUUUUGAACUUGGAGCAGAUUCGAUGUAUUAUUACAGCUGACGAGGUUUUUCUCUUGAAUACUCUAGAUAGCCACGUAUUGCAGUAUGUGGUGGAGCUACAAAGACGAUUAACAACUGCUGGAGCAGGGGACUUAUUGCAGCCCGAAGGUGCUGAGUUACGCAAAAGAAGAGGAAGCCGAUUUAGUAAUAUUUUUGACAGCUCUACUGAUUUACCCUUUGAAUUCAAGGCGUUUGAAGUAGCCUUAGAAGCUGCUUGUACAUUUUUGGAUAGUGAGGUGCGUAAAACAACUCAUUUAUCAAUUUCUUUUCUUCAAUUAAAGCAGUAAAUCUGUUCAAGAUUGUCAUAUCUGGAGCAAUUGCAUUUUGCAGCUAUAUAUGUGUAAUGCAGACGUCAUUUGUGAAGAAUAUCUUUCCAACGAACAUUAAAAAACUAUGAUCGGACUCAGGCCUAAAUUCAGUUAUCAUAAUUAGAAGUUAGAACCUCAGCACCAUUUACAUUAUUUUGAUUUAUGACAACUAAGUCUAGCAUCUGGACUUUGUUAUAAUGCUUGAAAGUUAUGUUGGUUGGUUUCAGAAAGUACUCUUAAGUGUUUUAUCUCCUGAAAGUGUAGGAGGAAAUCAAGGGUCAAGGGAUGGGAAGAAAUGGCUGUAACAAAGUAUUUAAUCAUGAAAAUACUAUUAUUGCAAGAUGUUGCUGAUAAUUAAUGAAAAAUGGAAUCAUGAAAAUUAUUGGCACAAUCAUCUCUCAACACGGGAAAUUUGAAAAUUCACUUGAAUAUUAUUGAUAAGCUGGGAACUUAGUGAAAACUAUAGGGAAAACACUGCCACAGGGAUAGUUGAGGGGUGGAUUAAAUGAUGCAAAGCACUCCUACUAUACUAAUAAAGGAGUAACUGAUAAUUAUGCAAUCAGCUGGUUACUAUUUCUUAACAUGUCCACGUAUCACACUCCGGUGAACAAUUAUAGUAGUUCUGACUUCUGCUAAGAAUCGCUUCACAACUCACAAUACUGAUUCUUUUUGUGAAUUUUUUUUUAUUGUUUUAAAUAUGUAUAGUUAUACCGCAUAUGAGUCAACGGUGUGAGUGUGCACAAUGAAUUGAGAUUCAAUAUCUUCUCAUAUAUUUAGAUCUAAUAAAACUUUUAAAAUUCGUCAGGCAGCAGAAUUUGAGAUUGACGUCUAUCCGCUGCUAGAUGAAUUGACGUCAAGAAUUAGUACCUUGAACUUGGAGCGAGUUCGUCGGUCAAAAAGCAGGCUUGUUGCAUUGACACGAAGAGUUCAGAAGGUCACUUGUUUUCCUGCUCUUUUUUUUUAUAAGUCCAUACAGGUGCUAGCUACCCUUUUUCAUUCUUAUUCUUGUUCAUAUAGGUUAGAGAGAUGAGAUAGAGCAGCUAAUGGACGAUGAUGGAGAUAUGGCUGAAAUGUAUCUCACUGAAAAGAAAAGCAGAAUGGAGUCGGCUGCAUUCUUUGGUGAUCAAUCUAUGUCAAGAUUGACAUCCAAUGAUGUCACACAAUCAGUUUCUGCUCCUGUUAGUCCUGUUUCUUCACCCCCUAAGAGGAGGCCUGAAAAAUCUUCUAGCAUGGCCAAAAGUAGGCAUGAGAGCAUAACUAGUGCAAGCGAGAGUACAGUAGAGCUGGAGAUGUUGUUGGAGGCUUAUUUCGUCGUCAUUGAUAGCACCCUUAACAAGCUGACAGCGGUAUAUAUCUACUGCAGUCGUCAAAAGAUCAAGUAAAAUGCAAAUCGGUGGUUGUACUAUACUGCUUUAGUGGCUGGGUUUUGAAAUCAAUAUGACUAAUCAUCAAAAACAGUGGCCGGGGUUUUUUUUANUUUUUGAAAUCAAUAUGACUAAUCAUCAAAAACAGUGGCCGGUGUUUUUUUUAGCUAAAUAACAGCAACCAAAGUUUUCUUCUUCUAUCUUCCCAAAAAAGGUGAAUGACCACUGUUUUUAAGAUAGAUGUGAUGUCUAGCUGCCAAAGUUCUACAUUAGGUAGAAUCCGGACACCGAUAUUACGAUAGACUGUGGUCUGAUACAAUGUUAAGUGAUUAGUUUUCCUAAAAUCUCAGAAUUUUAGGAAAAGGCUUUUAUCAUCAUUAUAUUCAAACUAAAUUAUAUCCCUUAACCAAUUUUUGUUUUGUUUUCCUCUUCUCAGCUGAAGGAGUAUAUUGCUGACACUGAAGACUUUCUGAACUUUAAGCUGGUAUGGCUUCCUUUUUUCUGAUUAUUAACUAAAUUCAGUGUGUCGCAAUUGUGGUGUUUUAAUUAGUUGAAACGUUGCUUGGAUACUUUUUUCGGUUGUAGGAUAAUAUACGAAACCGGCUCAUAAUGUUUGAGGUUUUACUCGCUACAGCUGCAUUCAUUGUUGCCGUCUUUGGUGUGUCAUCGGAUUUUGAAACAUAUUUGUUCCAGUAUUCAAAACUCAAGUGGAUCCUGAUAGGUACAGGAAUCACAGGGCUUUUCAUAUUUUCCAGUGUUUUAUGGUACUUUAGAAUAAGAAAGCCGUUCUGGAUGAAAUGAGUGGGAGAAACAACAUCAAUUCUUGUAAUGUGGUUAUGCCCCAAAUUCCUAGCUCUGUCCGUGAUCCAGUUCCUCAAUUCAUUUGGUUAGAUGUGGUUUAUUUAGAUCAUGCAGACAGUGACAGUGACAGUGACAGAUCCAGUUCUGAUCCAAGAGGGGUCAAUUUUUUUUCUUUGAUGAGUACAUAUAUUGUGGGAGUAAAAGAUUAAUGAUUUUAGGGAUCAAAAUCUGUGACUAUGAUUUUUCAUGAUAUUAUAUCAAAUGCAUUCGACUUUCUGAAACAAUCGUUGUUAAUAUGAACCACAAUUCCUAACAACAUUUAAAACAACGCCACACUCUAAUGUUUACACAACAUUGUCAAACUCUAAAGUUAAACAACAUUGUCAAGUAAACAAAUGACAAUAUAAACUAAUGCGUUGUAGUUGCUCUAAGGACUCCUUAUUGUAGUUUAUUUGGAUGGAACGAAGCAACGAGCCACAUAAAAGGAGUUUAAUUUUCAAGGAGUUAAAUCUCAAAUUGGUCAGUCACUGAAAAAGAGUUUAAUUUUCAAGGAGUUAAAUCUCAAAUUGAUCACUAAAGUGAGGACUCGACUUAUCAGGGACUCACAUGCACUACUAUAGUAACUGAUUAUUACAAAAAUAUUAACUUUUUUGACUUCCCAGACGGAAAUCAAAACGUGGCACACACAGCUUGUAUAGGUAGGAUUAGACUAACAACGGUAGCUUGUUUGUGUGUAUAUAUAUCAGCCAGGUUUUUAACAUUGAACCAAUUUUACUACUUGCUAAAAUCAUUUUAAUUAUUUUUUUCAACUGACCAUUUUUCUGAAAACACAAAUUAAAAUAAUAUAAUUUUGUCAUUUACCUUAUCCGUAAUUUUCUGCCUAUUUUUUUGGAUCUAAAAAUUGAGCGGGCAUAGUCUAAAGUUGGACACACUUCAUUGGGGGCAAAUUUAGCGUGAUUCGAAAAUCCAAAUUUAGGACACCUACUUUAUUAUAAAAUAAUGAUUAUGUUUAUUACUAUAUCUUUCAUUUAUCAGAUUUAAAAUUAAUCUAUGAUUAAUAUUUAAUUAAUAAUAGUUUAUAAUUAAUAAAAUUAAUAUUUUAGUAAAAACUUACAGGAAAGCAAAUUUCAUUGAAAUUUUUUAAAAAAAAAUUACAUUACAUGCAUAAAAUAAAAAGUACAUAAAAUGCAUAAAAUAAAAUUACAAUAUUAGAAAAUGAUUAGAAAACAGGACGAUAAAUAUAAAUUUUGAUUUAAAUGAAUAUAUUAUUUUGUUUCCUCCGAGAUAAUCAAAAUAUGUUCUGUAACUAUUCGGAAAAUUAGUAUGCGUCAAUAUAUUUUGUUUAUUAAUUCGAAAUAUUAGUUGUUUAUCUUUUUUAAGAAAUCGACAAGCAUGUUAUUUUGUUUAAUAAUAUUAAUAAUUAAGUAUAUAAUUUAAUUACUUUUACAUAUGUUAAAAANAAGUUAAACAACAUUGUCAAGUAAACAAAUGACAAUAUAAACUAAUGCGUUGUAGUUGCUCUAAGGACUCCUUAUUGUAGUUUAUUUGGAUGGAACGAAGCAACGAGCCACAUAAAAGGAGUUUAAUUUUCAAGGAGUUAAAUCUCAAAUUGGUCAGUCACUGAAAAAGAGUUUAAUUUUCAAGGAGUUAAAUCUCAAAUUGAUCACUAAAGUGAGGACUCGACUUAUCAGGGACUCACAUGCACUACUAUAGUAACUGAUUAUUACAAAAAUAUUAACUUUUUUGACUUCCCAGACGGAAAUCAAAACGUGGCACACACAGCUUGUAUAGGUAGGAUUAGACUAACAACGGUAGCUUGUUUGUGUGUAUAUAUAUCAGCCAGGUUUUUAACAUUGAACCAAUUUUACUACUUGCUAAAAUCAUUUUAAUUAUUUUUUUCAACUGACCAUUUUUCUGAAAACACAAAUUAAAAUAAUAUAAUUUUGUCAUUUACCUUAUCCGUAAUUUUCUGCCUAUUUUUUUGGAUCUAAAAAUUGAGCGGGCAUAGUCUAAAGUUGGACACACUUCAUUGGGGGCAAAUUUAGCGUGAUUCGAAAAUCCAAAUUUAGGACACCUACUUUAUUAUAAAAUAAUGAUUAUGUUUAUUACUAUAUCUUUCAUUUAUCAGAUUUAAAAUUAAUCUAUGAUUAAUAUUUAAUUAAUAAUAGUUUAUAAUUAAUAAAAUUAAUAUUUUAGUAAAAACUUACAGGAAAGCAAAUUUCAUUGAAAUUUUUUAAAAAAAAAUUACAUUACAUGCAUAAAAUAAAAAGUACAUAAAAUGCAUAAAAUAAAAUUACAAUAUUAGAAAAUGAUUAGAAAACAGGACGAUAAAUAUAAAUUUUGAUUUAAAUGAAUAUAUUAUUUUGUUUCCUCCGAGAUAAUCAAAAUAUGUUCUGUAACUAUUCGGAAAAUUAGUAUGCGUCAAUAUAUUUUGUUUAUUAAUUCGAAAUAUUAGUUGUUUAUCUUUUUUAAGAAAUCGACAAGCAUGUUAUUUUGUUUAAUAAUAUUAAUAAUUAAGUAUAUAAUUUAAUUACUUUUACAUAUGUUAAAAAGAUAAUUUAAUUAAUCAACAAUGAUUUAAUUAAUUAAAUUUAAUUAAUUAACAAUAAUUCAAUUAAUUAACCAUGAUUUAAUUCAUUAACAAUGUUAAAAAAUAAUUUACUUAAUUUAAUUAAUUAACAAUAAUUUAAUUAAUUAACAAUGAUUUAAUUAAUAAUUAAUUAACAAUGACCGCACCUGUACGUACACGAACUUAUAUUUCUGUUACUUGUAUUAUUGUAAUAAACUGAGGAACGGCUGAGUUGGACUGCACAGAGAUGCCAAUUUUUUAAAGUAGAAACAGAUUAGAAUAAAGACGGUUUCCGUCAAGUCAACUUGUCAAACUAAUGUUUCUGUGAUAAUCCGUUACUAUAGUGGUGCAUAUGAGUCCCUGAUAAGUCGAGUCACUAAAAUGAGAUAUGGGUUUCACUUUAGUGACCAAUUUGAGAUUUAACCUUAUUUUCAAGUGUUAAAUUAAAGACUAAGUUCAGAGGUCGAAAAAUAAAUUGAAGAAGAUUGUAACAUAUUUGAAUUUGAAUCUUAUAUAAUGGAAGAAGCCUUUAUUUCAAUCUUUGUUGUUCAGUUAUUUCCAACCCGUGCGUCUUUUGGUGUAGAGUAUUAUUCCAGAUAUAUUUUUAGACAAAAAAUUUCAAGGAAAAUCAACUCAGACAAUUUCGUUGGGUGUGGUAUUGGACGCCGCAAAUUUGAUGAAAAUGACAUCAAAUAUCAAUGUGGAAGAAUACGACCCGAUCUAUCACUUUAUAAUCCAAAAUGCUAGAUCUUGUAAGAUUUAGUUUUUUUUUCCGAAAAUCAAAAUGUUAAAUCAAUUAAUAUUAAAAAAUGAUAUUUUUUGUCAUAUACCGCGGUUCUGCUAUUUUAGAUAUCAAUGAUAUGUUUCGUGACAUACCAGCAACCUUUUCUAAAUCGUGUUAUCCUUUUUAUUCUAUUCCGACCAAACGCUUUCGAUCGUAUUGCAGACUUGCAGUCAAACACAUAAGAUAACUGAGGUCGUACUCAUCCAAAAGAAUUACUCUAUUGUUGGCAAAAAAAAAAAAAAAAGGAUUACUCUAUUGUUUACGUAUAAUUAUUCUCUUUAUUUAAAUUAUAAUAUAAUCUCAUAAAUUAUAAUUUUCUCAAUUUGAAAAAUAUAUAACUAUACUAAAAUUAUAAUCCUUUCAAAUAAAUAAGUACUCACAAUUGAUCAGCCACAUCUUUACUCUCACUGCAUUUUUUAAGACUGUGCUCAUCCCACCUGGUGUCUACCUGGUGAUAUCGAAGCUUCACGGAACCUAAGGAUUUCGAAUCCUGUGCUAAAGACACUGUUGCUAAAAGAAAUUUAACAAAAGUUAAUGGCACUGUCUAACCUUAUACGAAGGCUACAAAGAACCCAAGCACAACUCUUUCUCUCCUGCAUCCUAUCCCCAGUAACUCAGAAUGUUUCGUCUUCAGUAACCCCAUCAAACUUCCAUCUCAUUCAGACAUUUCAUCGAACAGCUAUGCUACAAUCUUGUUAUAUUACUAGAACUAUUCAUUCUGGCACAGGAAUGAACAGUGUCAGUGUUUACGAAGUAGCCAAUUUUACUCGCACUAUCAAUGAGGACCGUGCGUGUCAUGUUCUUAAGUUGUCUAAUUUACUUAAGAAAUUUAGUGGGUUUCCUUCUGAAGAAGAAGAAGCUACGGCAUUGCUUGAUGAUUCGGGUGUCGAGGCUGAUGAGAGUUUGGUUUAUUCAAUGAUUUGGGAAUUCAGAGGGGAGUGGAAGAUAUCGAUAUUGCUGUUUAAAUGGGGUGAGAAAUGGAAUUGCAAUGGUGGGAGGAAUUGGAGCUUGAUUAUAUGGGUGUUGGGUAAUCAUAAAAAGUUAAACAUUGCUUGGUGUCUGAUCCGGGACACUCAUCCAGAGUGACCAAGUUUCAUAGACUUUGUAGUCCUGCUUUUGGUGUUACAGUUACGUAUUCCCAUAAUGUGCUUAGUUAUACAAAAGAAAAAAGGCUUUUCUACAAGAAAUUGACAACACUUUUGGUUCUUCUGUGCAUCCUGCAAUAGAAGAAGAACCGCAAACAUUAUUUUUUUCAUUUUUGACUAUUUAAGAGCAUCUCCAACGGUGUUGGCUAUAAUCUUUGGUUAAAUUGAACCCGUAAGACAUUAUGUAAAAUUUGCUGAAGACAUUUUGCUACAAUGGUACUGGCUAUAUUGGUUGGCUAUAAUUUAAAAAUAGUAUGUUAUUAAUAAUUUAAAUUGUUAAAAUAGAAUAUAUCAGUUCAAUAUGGUAAUAAAUGAUGUACAAUCUUUUUACAGAUUUUCUUAAAGACCUGUAGAGGUUCGACAAAGAGGUUGGCUAAAUUUAUAGACAACAGCUCAUCAUGGUUGGAGUUGAGUUUUUGGAGCUGUUGACUAAAUCUUUUUAUUUUAAGUAUGUCAAUUCACUUUUUAGACAAGGGUUUUAGAUGGUUGAAGAUGCUCUAAAGAAACAAUGCACGGAUUAUGACAAAGUAUCAUAUAAAUGACUUAGAUACACCUUUUGGUUGACGGACCAUGAACGAAAUCUGCUCAUACAGUUUACAGUUUUACUCGCUACAGCGUCAUUUGUUGUUGCUCUCUUUGGCGUGGUAUCGGAUUUUGAAACGUACAUGUUCCAGUUCCGGCAUUCAAAAUUCAAGUGGAUCAUGAUAAGUACUUCCAUGACAGGUUUUGUUGUAUUCUUUAGUGUAUUGUGGUUUCUGAAAUACAUCAAAAAACCUUACUGGAUGAUGUGAGCUGGGAGAAACAAUUUCGAUUUUUGUAUGCAGAAGGAUGAUUGGAAACAAGCAACUACCACAUAUCAAAAAGAAACCGUUCCCAUAUACCUUGUUGGUGUAAUUAGAUAUAUAAUUGUAUUACAGAUUAGCUCCUUCUCUAAAUUUUAAUUUCUAAUCAGAUAAUCUACCCAACAAGCCAACAAAUAUGUAAAUUCUGAAGCUCUAUUAGGAAUUUAAACAAUGUACGCUCUUUCUGUUACUUCCACU